rnacentral:lncRNA from 1 species
UUGGGGAGUUCGGGCCGAACAGCUGAAGCUCGGUUGGGACAUCUGGUGGAGCAGAAUAGCUCUCUGUCUCAGUAAUCUAAGAGAAGCUCGGAUAUUUUUGAGCUUGCUGAUGGGUUAACUGUUGUUGGGUGCCUUAGGCAUUGAUGCUGCAGACAGAAGUCAUCUACUGUAGAAGCCCGGAUGAAAAUUUUCUGUUAGAAAAAUUCGGCUGGAAUCCGAUUGCUAAAGAAGUC